GCCUGGGUGGCUCAGUAGGUUAAGCAUCCGACUUUGGCUCAGGUCAUGAUCUCACGGUGUGUGGGUUCGAGUCUCGCGUCAGGCU
rfam:Felis catus isolate Cinnamon breed Abyssinian chromosome A1, whole genome shotgun sequence.